GGCGAGUGCGAAGAACGGCGCGGGCUGGAGGGGGGGGCGGUGAGAUCCACCUCCGAGAGAAAUAAUGGGGACGAUAAUAAAACAGGGGGAAAACCCGUUGGAGGGAAGCUGAAUGGAUGGAGCCAGAGACACGUCACGGCCAGCCGCAGCCAUGAAGACCGUGCGGUCCAGCCUCCGGCGACUCAGUUGGUCUCCAUCUCCCGAGCCGCUCGCUUCUCGGUUUUGGAGAACGGACGCCGCAGCGACUCGCAGGCAUCGGCGGAUCCCUGGAGAGACAUUCAUCGGCCUCACAACACGUGGCUUACUCUAGGUCAGAACUUGGCCAAUGCUACUUCGCCUAUGGCUUGAGAGGAUGGGUAGCCUUAGGGGUUGAUUGUUAUCUUUGGUUAUCUAGCUGUAUGAGUGAUGUACAUUCUUCAUAAAGCUAGAUAACCGAAAGUAACAAGAAUCCCAUUACACUCCUGAAAAGGCAUCAAGACCCCAAAUGCACUUCUUUUCAAAAAGAAAAGAAAAAUCUACUUCCAGAAGACCCGUAACAAGAGAGAGAAAAAUGGACAUUUUAAUGAAGGGAGAAUAAUACAACAAAAGGCUACCACACCACUGAAGGAAAGCUGGCAAAAGAAGACUGAAAAACAGAGAAUAAGGAGGAGGAGGGGUUGCUGUUGAUUCUGCCCUCCCUCUCUCCUCGCCCUCCACUGCAUCGCCUCUUCCCUCCUCCUCCUCUUCCCUUCCUCCUCCACUCCAUCCUCAGCAGACUGCCCCUUUUUCCUGUACAGCGAAACGCAGCCCGCGCCACCAUCUUAGAGUAACGCUGGCAUGAAAUGGAAGUGUGAAGACCAGCCAGUGCAGAUAAAUGUUGGGGCUCUAGAAUGGACAGAACACACAAUGGGACGACAGCGGGACUCCUCCUUUAUUGGCUGUUUGCUGCCUUUCAGCGGGAGUAAACAAGGAUGACGGCGCUGCUGUCUGCACAAGAGUCGGUGGUGAUUCCUGCCACUGGGACACUGGUUGUGCCUCUUGUUGCCGUUUGAUGCAUUAUUUGACUCAAAAGCCGACCUGGACUGUUUGUGAACGCCUUUCUUUGGGAAUUUGUGGGUUCGCACAGGAGAUGAUGAGCUCGAGAGUUGGACGAACUAGUCUAUAAAUGUGAUUCUCAUUUUUCUUUUAAUUUUUUAAGGUAGUACUGAUUUAAUUUUUUGUAUUAUUUGUACAUGUGUUUAUAAACAAUAUCGACACAAAGCAAUAUAAUUUGUCUGCGACUAACUUAGACUCUACUAACUGUGGUGGUAUGUGAUGAGUUGUAGCGCACAUUUUGCUCAGUUUCUUUUUUUAUAGUUGCUAGGACUCAAAAGACACACGAAUGUGAGACCCACGGCAGCAGUGAAUAAUACUGCACUGCGAUUGGACAGCUCCAUGUGUCGGCUGACACAAUGGUGAAGGAGUAAGCUGUCGUCUUUAUACUCUAUGCAACAGUUUGUUCUUUUUUGUUGUUUUUUGUUGUUUGUUUUUGGUAAAGCCCUUUUCCACCCUUACCUUUGUUGGGGGCAUCACACUAUAGACAUUCUAUCAGUCAUCUUCAAAAUAUGUUCUUCGAGGAGCCCACAUUCCUACUGUUAAUAUGCUGAAACAGAAAAUACAGUGGGACUGUGUGUGUGUGUGUGUGUGUGUGUGUGUGUGUGUGUGUGUGUGUGUGUGUGUGUGACAGAUGACAGAAUACAUCUGAGUUUCAUCAGUGGACGGAUUGAAUCUCAUAUUUUGCUGCCUUAACAGACUUUGAUCUGACUGUGCAGCCAUGUGCCUGAGCGCACAUGGAGUCUGAGUAAAUAUAAUAUUAAACCAAACAUUUAAUAUUCCUGAUGGUAGGAGUGUGUUUGAUCAGCAAGAAGUAGCUCAUGGCUGUGUGUAUACAGAACAGGCCGCACUAUUAAAACCUGCUUCCCGGUAGGCUUCCAGACACAGCAGUUUGGUUCAUAACGGUUACCUGCUUCACUGUAAUGAUACAUCUUUGGGUGAGACAUUACAAAUAGAUUGGCUUCAAACACUGCCUUAAUUUCCUGUCCUUGACGUUAACACACACAUGCACACACACACAAAUGCAAUAAGGCAAGUACUAUCAGAGCCUAAUUCAUUCUAUAUUAAUUUUCGGGAAGUGGCAAAUUUUUUUAUUACGAUUGAUAAUCUAUGCAAAUCUUUUAAAUAUUACUUUAAACAAUCUAUGUCUAUGCAGUGCUUUUGCAAUUGAUUCAAGGGAGACUAUCUUGGCCUAAUUUAGAAAAUGUAUUUUUUGAUAAUCAUGCACAUCCCAGUGCUCAAGACAAUUACUUAUCUGCCUGGAUAAGCUUGAAAUUAUGUUUUUAAUCUCAAGCAAAAAAAAGUUACUCUUCUGAUAUCAGUCCAGAGGCAUGGGAACCGUGAAUUGUGGUCUAAAAUGAUUAAAGCAGUUGCACAAUUUUUUUUUCUUUUCUUAAAUGCAGAUCAAACAUACUGUAUCUCCUCAGCUUUUGCCUUGCAAAGCCCAUUAUUUUAUAUAAUCAGCAAUGUUUGUGUUACACAAUCUAAUUGCUGUGAAUGAGUGUUCACCACAUGUGCCUUCGUAUGGAAAACUGUGUUGGAAUAGUAAUAAAGGUUUACAUUGAAAACAACGGAAAAA